AUCUAUGUAGGUUCCAGUGAGGGAAAUCAAAGUGAAGGGUCCAUAAACAAUGAAAGAAGCUUGGUAUGAGAGAGUGGGCAAGAGUGGUGUUAGUACGAAUCAUUUCUACCCUUCACUUUCAUUUCCUUCACUGGCACCCACAUAAAUA
rnacentral:pre_miRNA from 1 species